rnacentral:rRNA from 1 species
UGGGGAAUAUUGCACAAUGGGCGCAAGCCUGAUGCAGCAACGCCGCGUGAGGGACGACGGCCUUCGGGUUGUAAACCUCUUUAGUAGGGAAGAAGCGAAAGUGACGGUACCUGCAGAAAAAGCACCGGCUAACUACGUGCCAGCAGCCGCGGUAAUACGUAGGGUGCAAGCGUUAUCCGGAAUUAUUGGGCGUAAAGAGCUCGUAGGCGGUUUGUCGCGUCUGCUGUGAAAACUGGAGGCUCAACCUCCAGCCUGCAGUGGGUACGGGCAGACUAGAGUGCGGUAGGGGAGAUUGGAAUUCCUGGUGUAGCGGUGGAAUGCGCAGAUAUCAGGAGGAACACCGAUGGGCGAAAGGCAGAUCUCUGGGCCGUAACUGACGCUGAGGAGCGAAAGCGUGGGGAGCGAACAGGAUUAGAUACCCUGUAGUCCACGCCGUAAACGUUGGGAACUAGAUGUGGGGGCCAUUCCACGGCUUCCGUGUCGCAGCUAACG